rnacentral:rRNA from 1 species
GUGAACAUACCUAUAACGUUGCCUCGGCGGGAACAGACGGCCCCGUAACACGGGCCGCCCCCGCCAGAGGACCCCCUAACUCUGUUUCUAUAAUGUUUCUUCUGAGUAAACAAGCAAAUAAAUUAAAACUUUCAACAACGGAUCUCUUGGCUCUGGCAUCGAUGAAGAACGCAGCGAAAUGCGAUAAGUAAUGUGAAUUGCAGAAUUCAGUGAAUCAUCGAAUCUUUGAACGCACAUUGCGCCCGCCAGUAUUCUGGCGGGCAUGCCUGUUCGAGCGUCAUUACAACCCUCAGGCCCCCGGGCCUGGCGUUGGGGAUCGGCGGAAGCCCCCUGCGGGCACAACGCCGUCCCCCAAAUACAGUGGCGGUCCCGCCGCAGCUUCCAUUGCGUAGUAGCUAACACCUCGCAACUGGAGAGCGGCGCGGCCACGCCGUAAAACACCCAACUUCUGAAUGUUGACCUCGAAUCAGGUAGGAAUACCCGCUGAACUUAAGC